UAAGAGGUACUGCCUGCCCAGUGGACAUCAGUUUAACGGCCGCGGUAUUAUGACCGUGCAAAGGUAGCGUAAUCACUUGUCUUUUAAAUAAAGMCCUGUAUGAAUGGCAAAACGAAAGCUCAACUGUCUCUUUUAAUUAAUCAAUGAAAUUGAUCUUUCCGUGCAGAAGCGGAAAUAAUUUUAUAAGACGAGAAGACCCUAUGGAGCUUUAAACAAAUAUUAAUUAUUUAUAAAAUAAAAGUAAUAAGAGUUUUAGGUUGGGGCGACCGUGGAGGAAAAACCAMCCUCCAAGAUAAAUAUUAGAAAUMCMCAUCAAAAUAAUAAAAAUUUAACAUAUUUGAUCCAAUAAUUGAUCAACGAACCAAGUUACCCUAGGGAUAACAGCGCAAUCUUCUCAAAGAGUCCUUAUCGACGAGUAGGUUUACGACCUCGAUGUUGGAUCAGGACACCCAAAUGGUGUAACCGUUAUUUAAGGUUCGUUUGUUCAAC
rnacentral:rRNA from 1 species